UGGCACAAGGAUCAUUGUGCUGAAUCACAGGUGCCUGCUCUGACUCUCAGCUACAGCACUGCAGAAGAAAAGGUACUUCCUUGGAUAGACUUUGCUGGGAACAAACUGAAGCAAGAGAGGGGCACAGAGGAAGCAAACACAGGAAGUCCAGCCUAUCCAGAGGAUGUUCUGAAAGGAGGAGCUACCCAGAACUGAUGGGCCUGAUCUUGAAGCCACAGGGCAUGGAGGCAGCUGCCGUCCCAGCGCACUCGGGGGACUCUGGCAGGAUGGUUUAGGAAGCCCUUGGCCCUGAUUCUGCUGAGACACUGGCGUAAAGGGAAAAAACUGAAAAAGAGAAGUUUAUCUGAUAUACACUUCAAGUAAGGGGCACGGUACGGGUGGAAGAAAGAAAACAGAGAAGUCAUUCUGAAUCCUUUGAAUCCCCUUGCCUUCGGGACAGAGCCGUGCCUGUAUCUCCACGUUAUAGUUUGUUGAGCGCUCUGAACCGCAGCGAGUGAGCAAGUAUAAGUAUGAUAAAUACCUCUACAGCUCGGUCGCCACAGUGCUCUGCAGACUUUUAUCUACAACAGAACUCCUGCUGUAACCAAAACAGUGUGCUACGGUCACGCACGCCAAGCGAUCCCUCUGUCCAGUACCGCGGGUGAUGAAUAGCUGGCUGUGCUGGAGAAAUCCUGAGCGCGAAAAGCGUAUGAUCCCUCUUUUGCCAGGGGAGCAAUGCAAAGA